GACGAACGCUGGCGGCGUGCCUAAUACAUGCAAGUCGAACGAACCGCGACUAAGUGCUUGCACUAAGUCAAGGUGAGUGGCGAACGGGUGAGUAACACGUGGGUAACCUACCUCAUAGUGGGGGAUAACAGUCGGAAACGACUGCUAAUACCGCAUAGGACAUAGGCUCACAUGAUCCAGUGAGGAAAGGUGGCGCAAGCUAUCGCUAAGAGAUGGACCCGCGGUGCAUUAGCUAGUUGGUAGGGUAAAGGCCUACCAAGGCGAUGAUGCAUAGCCGACCUGAGAGGGUGAUCGGCCACAUUGGGACUGAGACACGGCCCAAACUCCUACGGGAGGCAGCAGUAGGGAAUCUUCCGCAAUGGACGCAAGUCUGACGGAGCAACGCCGCGUGAGUGAAGAAGGUCUUCGGAUCGUAAAGCUCUGUUAUUAGAGAAGAACAUCGCAUAGAGUAACUGCUAUGCGCGUGACGGUAUCUAACCAGAAAGCCACGGCUAACUACGUG
rnacentral:rRNA from 1 species